UGGGGGGUCGGUGGAAGGCUGGUUAAACCGUUUGGUUUUCGACCACUACGACCCGGGUUCGAUCCCCGGGUUCUGAU